rnacentral:rRNA from 1 species
AGUGGCAAACGGGUGAGUAACACGUAAACAACCUGCCUUCAGGAUGGGGACAACAGACGGAAACGACUGCUAAUACCGAAUACCUGAAGAGGGGUUUGCGUCUGAUUAGGUAGUUGGUGAGGUAACGGCCCACCAAGCCGACGAUCAGUAGCCGGUCUGAGAGGAUGAACGGCCACACUGGAACUGAGACACGGUCCAGACUCCUACGGGAGGCAGCAGUGGGGAAUCUUCCGCAAUGGGCGAAAGCCUGACGGAGCAACGCCGCGUGAGUGAUGACGGCCUUCGGGUUGUAAAGCUCUGUGAUCGGGGACGCGGUACCCGAAUAGCAAGCCACGGCUAACUACGUGCCAGCAGCCGCGGUAAUACGUAGGUGGCAAGCGUUGUCCGGAAUUAUUGGGCGUAAAGCGCGCGCAGGCGGUUCUUAAGUCCAUCUUAAAAGUGCGGGGCUUAACCCCGUGAUGGGAUGGAAACUGAGAGCUGGAGUAUCGGAGAGGAAAGUGGAAUUCCUAGUGUAGCGGUGAAAUGCGUAGAGAUUAGGAAGAACACCGGUGGCGAAGGCGACUUUCUGGACGA